GAUCCUGGCUCAGGAUGAACGCUGGCGGCGUGCUUAACACAUGCAAGUCGAACGAAGCGCUUUAAUCGAUUUCUUCGGAUUGAAAUUUUAGUGACUGAGUGGCGGACGGGUGAGUAACGCGUGGGUAACCUGCCUCACACAGGGGGGAUAACAGUUGGAAACGGCUGCUAAUACCGCAUAAGCGCACGGUACCGCAUGGUACAGUGUGAGAAACUCCGGUGGUGUGAGAUGGACCCGCGU
rnacentral:rRNA from 1 species